rnacentral:rRNA from 2 species
UACGUAGGUCCCGAGCGUUGUCCGGAUUUAUUGGGCGUAAAGCGAGCGCAGGUGGUUUAUUAAGUCUGGUGUAAAAGGCAGUGGCUCAACCAUUGUAUGCAUUGGAAACUGGUAGACUUGAGUGCAGGAGAGGAGAGUGGAAUACCAUGUGUAGCGGUGAAAUGCGUAGAUAUAUGGAGGAACACCGGUGGCGAAAGCGGCUCUCUGGCCUGUAACUGACACUGAGGCUCGAAAGCGUGGGGAGCAAACAGG